rnacentral:lncRNA from 1 species
UCAAAUCUAUCAAGGAAACCCUAGAUAAAAAAAACUCAUCUUAUAAUAAUCUCUCCAUACAACUUGUUGAAUUUCACUUGCCUUAUUUGCAUGAGUUACCUCCUCACUACCAUACAACUAAAGACCUCCCUCCCCAUCUUAACUCAACUCUUAUUCAUGCCUUCCAAAUGGCUUCUUCCAAAUUUCCAAGCAUAAUUGAAACCCUAAAACCUAACCUGAUUAUAUAUGAUGGGUUCCAACCAUGGGUAGCAACUAUGGCUUCAUCAUGUAAUAUUCAUGCUAUUAUGUUUUGUGUUACUUCAACUUCUAAUCUUGCUUAUUUCUACCACCAAUUUCUUUAUGGGAGUUCAAGCCUUCCAUCUUUUCCAUUUUCUUCCAUAUACCUUCAUGACUAUGAGAUCAAGAAAUUAGACAUACAACCGAUAAAACCACGCGAUGAGAAAGCUUUUGGAUACAUAAUCCUUAAGUCUUUUGAACAAUCUCACAACAUUGUUUUGUUGAACACUUGUAGGGAGAUUGAGGGGAAGUAUAUAGAUUAUGUAUCUACAGUAGGAAAGAAGGAGUUGAUACCAAUUGGACCAUUAAUUUGCGAGGUGACCAUAGGUGAGGAGGAGGAUUGGGGGACAAUUCAAUCAUGGCUAGAUAAGAAGGAUCAACUAUCAUGUGUUUAUGUAUCAUUUGGAAGUGAAAGCUUCUUGUCAAAGCAAGAAAUUGAAGAGAUAGCAAAAGGGCUAGAGCUAAGCAAAGUUAAUUUUAUUUGGACAAUCAAAUUUCCAAAAGGGGUGAACACAACAAUAGAAGAAAUGGUUCCACAGGGUUUUCUUGAAAGUACAAAGGGGAAAGGGAUGGUUAUUGAAGGAUGGGCUCCACAAAGUCUAAUUUUGAACCAUUCAAGCAUUGGAGGUUUUGUAACUCAUUGUGGAUGGAACUCGAUUUUAGAAAGCAUGAGUUUUGGCAUACCAAUAAUAGCCAUGCCUAUUAAUCAUGAUCAACCAUUGACUUCAAGAUUAGUGGAGGAACUUGGCAUAGGGGUGGAGAUUUUGAGAGGUGAAAAUGGGAAAAUAAUGAAAGAAGAGGUGGCAAAAGGAUAAGGAAGGUGGUAGAGGAGAAGACUAGGAAACAUAUAAAUAUGAAGGCAAUGCAAUUGAGUGAGAAGAUAAAAUUGAAAGGGGAGAAAGCUAUUGAUGAAGGGGUUAAAAAGUUGUUAAAGCUAUUAUGUUGAUUUAUAAGAGAAUGAUGAUGAUGAAUUGGAAUGAAUUUGGACACCAUAAGUAUUUAGAUAUUAAUAAAGAUUGAAAUAAGAGAAUUUAAUAUACAAAUUGUAUUGAAUGAUGUAAUCUAGAGAUAGGUUUCUUAAGAUCAUAUUGUCUUAUAUGAGUUCAAACUUUAGUUGAACUAUUUUCCUUGCUGUAUUGUGUAUUUAGAGAGGAUUAUACCUCUUAAUCGAAAUACUGAAAAAUAUAUACAAAGCUUAAAUUAUUUCAGACAUAAACAAGACAUUUCAAAGCUAAAAUUCACCACCAAAGGAGUGUAAUGGGAUGAAUGAAAUUAUAUUCCUUCACCUUUUUCAAAGGUCUCAAGUUUGAACCCUAGAAAUGGAGAAACUCUGACAUUUUCCCUUUCACGAGCUAGCUACAUAACACAAAUCUAUAUUAGUUGGAAUAAUGAACAUUGGCCACGUGAUAAUUAGUUAUACAUAUGUAUUGUUGGGAUCUAUGUAGUUUUGAUAAUUGACAAAGAAAAAUGGAACGUAUAGUCAAGUCGGUCAAAGGCACAUUGUCUCAAUUAGUUGAUUACAAAACAAUUAUGAUAAUCUUAAAGAAGACAAACAAGUGUUGAAUGAUAGAGUUAUAGUUUAACUAGAACACCAAUGAAGAGAUAAGUUUAACUAAAGGAAGAGUCCAAUUGGAAGUAGAACUCAAAGUCAAUAGAUAUCGAAUGAAAGAGGAGUUUAAGGAGAAGAAAAACUUUCUAAAAUAGAUAUGUGCUUAAAUAGACGAGAACUCAUUCAGAAUACUCACACACUUAAAGAGCAAAAAAAAAAAGCAAUUGGCAUAUUGGCUUUACUGUGCUGUUGAAUAUUGAUUAAACACUUUGAUGAACCAAGUCAUAUUACAUAGUUUAUGUUCUAGGAGUUUUUCUCUUUGUGUUGAGUACUAAUGCUUCUUUAGUUCAGUAAUUUAUAAACUGAAGUAAAAUUAUAGUCUUCAAGUUAGGGGCAACUCAAGACUUGGAACACAUACCUUGGAAGGUUUGUGUGCUAAUGACAAAUUAGAGUUUAUAAUUUUUUAGAUUACAUAAGUUUAUAAUCUUUUGUUGCAAGGCUUAUUGAAUUUGAGAGUUACAUAUCAUGGUUUUUACACCUUUCUGAGUUGACUGUUUUCACGUAAAAUAGUGUUUUCUUAAUUAACUGUUUUAUUAAAACAUGUCAAAACAAUCCAUUUCACCUACACAAAGAGUUAAGUUAAGCAAUGAAAUUGUAGAUCCCAUAGAAUACCGUGUAUAUACUUGCCACAUGAUGAUUGCGACAUGCUUAAUUAUUAUUUUCCAAAGAGAAUGAAAUAGUUGGCUAAGACAGUCAUAUUAAUCCAUCGAACCCAUUAUUUCUUCAUUGUCUAUGUACAUUUAUCCUUAAUAAUUCCCCUUUUUAUCAGUUCUUCGGUUAUUGAUUAAAUUUAUUUUAGAACUAAGUGAAAUGAAACAAAUUUGUCCUGCAGUAAUAACUGGGGUCAAAUACAUUUUUAUCGUUAAUAUUUAUUGGUAUUAAAAAACAAAUAAUUUGCCCUUAUUUUUAAACGCUUUUGACUUUUAAAAUAUUACGUCUUCUAAUACUUUUCUUAUCAAAAUUGGACUCUCUCACUUCCACAAAGCUUAAUUACGUGAACAAUAUUGUUAUUUCUAUUACAGGAACGUGUCACAUUAUCGGAUAAAGAUCCGGUCAAGUAUAAUUAGGUCAAGUAAUGUUCAAUGGCCUCAUAGAUUCAUGCCAUGUGUAUUAUGUAAUAAUUUAUGGUUGAGAUCCAUUUAAAAUAUAUUCAUCUUAAUAAUAAAAACAAUAAACCCGUCAACUAUUUUUAUUUUUUAAAACUAUCAAAUAAAGAAAUUAAGUGUACCCUAGCUAAUAUUUUCAGAAAAAAAAAAGAUUGGCGGGAAUAUGCGGACUUCCCGACUUUUUUACCCGUCAAACCUCGUACUUGUAUUGGAUUUUUAAAAUUAUACUAAUUUUAAAGAAUUUGACACUUUUGAAGAAUUCGAGUAAAUAUAUUUUUAUAAUUAUUUGAAACCUCCAAAUAAGUUUUUUUUUUUUAAUGUAUUAUCAUGUUCUUUAGUUGAAUUAUUAUUUAGAACUCAAUGAUGUUUUUAAGUUUGAUCUAUUUUUGGAGAUUACUUCAGAAUUUGGAGAAAGCAUGUGCGAAAUUACUCCUGAAGAAGUUUGGCGGGUAAAAGGUCAGGAAGUCCGCAUAUUUCCAUCAAUCUUAAUUUUUUUUUCUUGAAAAAUAUUAGCUUGGGUACACUUAAUUGCUUUAUUUGAUAGUUUAAAAAAAUAAAAAUAGUUGACAUCUUUGUUGUUUUUAUUAUUAUAAUGAGUAUAUAAUUUAAAUGGUUCUUGUCACGACCCAGACCAUCGUGAUUGGCACCCACACUAACUUUCCGGUGGGAGAACCACUACUACAACCCAAACCAAGAAACUAAACAAAAACUAAGGCAUUUAAGUUACGGAAGCAAGUUUAUAUAUAUAUAUAUAUAAAUGUAUAUGCAAUUUUGCAUCUCAAGAAAUUUAAAAGUACACUUUACAGAAGGAAGAUGAAAAUUUUUCAAAAAAAUAACAUACAAUGGUGCUUUUUAAUUAAUUUUUAAAAAUAAAUCUUCUCUAGAGAUCGAACCCUCAACCUCACAAUCAAAAACCAACACUCGAACUAGUGAACCAUCCACUAAUUUGUUAUCAUGUGUUCCAUUAUUUGAAAAUUUACAUAUUUUAAGAAUUAUACAAAUAAUAUAUCGAGUUUUGUCGGAUGACCACGGGUUUCGAUGUCCCAUUUUUUACACUUAAAUUCUCCCUUGCACACAACCAAUGCGGGUUCGAAUCUCGCUGCCAACACCUAAUUUUUUGCUUGCUCCUUUUUUUCUUUUCUUUUCUUUUUUGUCUUUUUCAUUAGUGUGUAAAGGGCUUAAUUUUUUCUCUCCAUUCAUUCUUAUUUAUUUACUAUUCUUUAUUAAUUCAAAUUGACUUCUUUUCAUAAUUAAUUUUUAAUUUUUUUACUUUCUCUUGCACUAAUUAUUAAUCUCUUGAUAUGCGUGUUACAUGUUUAUUUUUUAUCAACUAAUGAGUACUGAAUUAUGAACGUCAAAUAAAUAUUAUUAAGAAUAUAUUUAAAUAGUAGUUUUUAAAAAAUACAAGUUUUAAAAAUGAUGAAUAUUAUUAUUAGAGUUUUUUUUUAAUUUAAAGGUUCUAUCGAUCUUCACCGACGUUCUUGCUAAGUAAGAUGACUAGGCUGAAACUACAAUUUUUAUUCUUUUCUUACUAUAUAUCUCCAACAACACAUAAAGUCAAUGGUAUAUGAAUAUAUUAUGUUAAUAUUAUUAGAUGGUUUAUACAAGCUCAAAUUUUAAUGUGAAAAAUCUUUUUUUUCUCAAAGUUUCAGUGAAUAAGACAUCUAAUUCCAAAAAUGAAAUAAAAAUUGAAUUGUUUAGUUAUCUCUAAUCUCAGGAUAUCUAAAAGAAAAUAUUACUAACAUGCAUAUUUGAUCGAUUUGUUUAUAAAAUAAAAUAAAAUCAAUAACCCGAAUUGUAACCUAAAAUUAAAGCAACCGAUCCUUUUAUCUUGCUUGAACGUUAUGACACCCACUGACCUCCAAAUCCUAGAUCCACCUUUAUAUAUAUGAUUAUGUUCUAUAUAAUAGUAAAUCAUUAGCCGUCACGCAACUACAAUACAUACAGAAAUUUGAACUUUAUUUGAAGAGUACACUUGUCAUGCCUAGUAUAACUAGUAUAAUUAAUAGAAUUUUUAAAAAAUAUUUUCCAUAUAGCUAAACUUUUUCUAACCUAUAAAACUAUGAUAUAUGCUUUAUAAAUUUUUCCAUAAUUAUUCCAUUCAUGGAGAGAAUUAAGGAAAAUAGUCCUAGUAUCCUUUUAUUUCCAUGGUUAGGUUUUGGCCACGUAAAUCCCUAUUUGGCACUAGCCAAGAAAUUAUCAAAAAUGAAUUUUCACAUAUAUUUUCUUUCAACACCAAUUAUUCUCAAAUCUAUCAAGGAAACCCUAGAUAAAAAAAACUCAUCUUAUAAUAAUCUCUCCAUACAACUUGUUGAAUUUCACUUGCCUUAUUUGCAUGAGUUACCUCCUCACUACCAUACAACUAAAGACCUCCCUCCCCAUCUNNNNNNNNNNNNNNNNNNNNNNNNNNNNNNNNNNNNNNNNNNNNNNNNNNNNNNNNNNNNNNNNNNNNNNNNNNNNNNNNNNNNNNNNNNNNNNNNNNNNNNNNNNNNNNNNNNNNNNNNNNNNNNNNNNNNNNNNNNNNNNNNNNNNNNNNNNNNNNNNNNNNNNNNNNNNNNNNNNNNNNNNNNNNNNNNNNNNNNNNNNNNNNNNNNNNNNNNNNNNNNNNNNNNNNNNNNNNNNNNNNNNNNNNNNNNNNNNNNNNNNNNNNNNNNNNNNNNNNNNNNNNNNNNNNNNNNNNNNNNNNNNNNNNNNNNNNNNNNNNNNNNNNNNNNNNNNNNNNNNNNNNNNNNNNNNNNNNNNNNNNNNNNNNNNNNNNNNNNNNNNNNNNNNNNNNNNNNNNNNUUUUGUUGAACACUUGUAGGGAGAUUGAGGGAAAGUAUAUAGAUUAUGUUUCUACCAUAGGAAAGAAGGAGUUGAUACCAAUUGGACCACUUAUUCGCGAGGCGAUCAUAGGUGAGGAGGAGGAUUGGGGGACAAUUCAAUCAUGGCUAGACAAGAAGGAUCAACUAUCAUGUGUUUAUGUAUCAUUUGGAAGUGAAAGCUUCUUGUCAAAGCAAGAAAUUGAAGAGAUAGCAAAAGGGCUAGAGCUAAGCAAAGUUAAUUUUAUUUGGACAAUCAAAUUUCCAAAAGGGAUGAAAACAACAAUAGAAGAAAUAGUUCCACAAGGUUUUCUUGAAAGUACAAAGGGAAAAGGGAUGGUUAUUGAAGGAUGGGCACCACAAAGUCUAAUUUUGAACCAUUCAAGCAUUGGAGGUUUUAUAACUCAUUGCGGAUGGAACUCGAUUUUAGAAAGCAUGAGUUUUGGCAUACCAAUAAUAGCCAUGCCUAUUAAUCAUGAUCAACCAUUGAAUUCUAGAUUAGUGGAGGAACUUGGCAUAGGGGUGGAGAUUUUGAGGGGUGAAAAUGGGAAAAUAAUGAAAGAAGAGGUGGCAAAAGGAAUAAGGAAGGUGGUAGAGGAGAAGACUAGGAAACAAGUAUGUUUGAAGGCAAUUCAAUUGAGUGAGAAGAUAAAAUUGAAAGGGGAGAAAGCUAUUGAUGAAGGGGUUAAAAAGUUGUUGAAGCUAUUAUGUUGAUUUAUAAGAGAAUGAUGAUGAUGAAUUGGAUUGAAUUUAGACACCACAAGUAUUUAGAUAUUAAUAAAGAUUGAAAUAAGAUCAUAUUGUCUUAUAUGAUAUGAUGUAAUCUAGAGAUAGGUUUCUUAAAAUCAUAUUGUCUUAUAUGAGUUCAAACUUUAGUUGAACUCUCUUCCUUGCUGCAAUAUUGUGUAUUUAGAGAGGAUUAUACCUCUUUAUCGAAACACCGAAAAAUAUAUACAAAGUUUAAAUUAUUUCAGACGUAAACAAGACAUUUCAAAGCUAAAAUUCACCACCAAAGGAGUAUAAUGGAAUGAAUGAAAUUAUAUUCUUUCACCUUUUUCAAAGGUCUUUUGUUUGACUCCUAGAAUUGGAGAAACUCUAACAUUUUCCCUUUCAUGAGCCCUACUUAACACAAAUCUAUAUUAGUUGGAGUAAUGAGCAUUGGCCACGUGAUGAAUAGUUAUACAUAUAUAUUGUUGGGAUUUAUGUAGUUUGAUUAGGGUUGUUCAUGGUUAUGGUUAAAAAAUUAAACCGAUUAAAAAAUCGAUAUUUAGUUUGGUUUGAUUUUAAAUUUUGAUAAUCGAUACUAUUUAGUUUGAUUUUGGUUUUACUUAAAACCAACCGCAAAAAUAACCAAAUCGAACCGAUAAAUUAGAUAAUGUAAAUUUUAUAAUUAUUUAUAUAUUAUUCAUAAAUAAAAUAUAAAUAUUUUGUUAAAUUUUAAUGAACUUAAGUCUUUAACAUACCAUUUUCUCAAGCCCAAUACUUAAAUUUUAGCCCAACUAUUACAAUCCUAAGUCCAAGUCCAUCAAAAUCUAUUACUUUAGUCUUUACCUACCCUACCUCACAUAACAAAGUCACACCUUCUGUUAAUUGAAUCACUUUGUUUGUGUAAUGUUAACUCUAGUAUUGUUGAAUUUGCUUAAUUAAACCUACAAUAGCUUUUCUGUGGAAUGUUCAUGUACUAGGUGUCUGUGUAUAUGGAGAUACGUAUGUCCUCAAAAACUUAUUACUUUCAAACAAAAAAAUCAGAAAAAUUGAGCCAGACCAACAAUAACUAAAGCGAUGGUUAUUUUUUUCGUUUGGUUUAGUUUUAGAAAUUUUAAAAAAUCGACUAAAUUGGUUUGAUUUUGAUUUUAACCAAUAAUUGAUCCAAACCGAACCAGAAACACUCCUAAUUUUCAUAAUGACAGAAAAAUGGAACAUGCUAGUCAAGUCGAUCAAAGGCGCAUUGUCUCAAUUAGUUGAUUAAAAAACAAUUAUGAUAAUCUUAAAGAAGACAAACAAGUGUUGAAUGAUAGUGUUAUAGUUUGACUACAUCACCAAUGAAGAGAAAGUUUAACUAAAUGAUGAGCCCAAUUGGAAGUAGAAGUCAAAGUCAAUAAAUAUCGAAUGAAAGAGGAGUUUAGGGUGAAGAAAAACUUUCUAAAAUAGAUAUGCUUAAAUAGACGAGAACUCAUUCAGAAUACUCACACACUUAAAGAGCAAAAAAGCAAUUGGCAUAUUUGUUUUACUGUGCUAUUGAAUAUUGAUAGAACACUUUGAAGAACCGGGUCCUAUAUAUUACAUAUAGUUUAUGUUCUAGGUGUUUUUUUCUUUGUGUUGAGUAUUGAUGUUUUCUUAGUUCAAUAAGUUAUAAACUGAAGUAGAAUUAUAGUCUUCAAGUUGGGGGCAACCCAAAGGCUUGGAAACACAUACCCUGGAAUGUUUGUGUGCUGAUGAGAAAUUAUAGUUUAUAAUUUCUUAGAUUACACAGGUUUAUAACCUUUUGUUGCAUGGAUUUAGUGAAUUUGAGAGUAAAUCUUGUAGAGGUACAUAUAAUGAUUUUUACACCUUUUUGAGUUGACUAUUUUCGUGUAAAAAUAGUGUGUUUUUAAUUAAUUGUUUUAUUAAAACACAUUAGACAAUUCGUUUCACUUACGCAAAAAGUUAAGUCAAGUAACGAAAUUGUAGAUCCCAUAGAAUACUGUGUAUAUACUUGCCACAUGAUGAUUGCGACAUGCUUAAUUAUUAUUAAUCCAUCGAGCCCAUUAUUUCUUCAUUGUCUAUAUACAUUUAUCCUUAAUAAUUCCCCUUCAGAGUUUAUUAGUUCUUCGGUUAUUGGUUAAAUUUAUUUUAGAACCAAGUGAAAUGAAUUUGUCCUCCAUUAAUAACUGGGGUCAAAUACAUUUUUACCAUUAAUAUUUAUUGGAUUAAAAAAUAAAUAAAUUUCCCUUAUUUUUAAACGAUUUAGACUUUUAAAAAAAUUACGUUUUCUGACACUUUUCUUAUCAAAAUUGGACUCUCUCACUUCCACAAAGCUUAAUUACGUGAACAAUAUUGUUGUUUCUUUUAUAUGGACGUGUCACAUUAUCACCAUGCGACAUUUACUACUUCUAUCAGAUUGUAGGAAUAUGUCACAUUAUCACUUCACUAAUUUUCAAGUAAUUUGAACCUAAAAAAAUAGGGAAAAUUAUGCGGAUAAGUAACAUAUAUUAUUUAAUUAGCUAAUAUAGCUAUGAUUUGAAUUAAUUAUCAUUAGCAACCUUUUAUUAGCUAUGACUAGAGAGCGAUGCUCGUGCGAUGCACGGGGUCUAAGCUCAACAAUUUGAUUUGUAAUGUAAUCAAAUAUGCAACAUUUAUUAUUAAAAAAAAAAUGGACCAAAAGAUAUAUCUUACCUUAAAUUUUUCGUCAUUACAGAUUGUAUUAGCAUCAAGUUAAUAAUGUAUAGUACCGUCAAAAAAAUAUAGUUGGUGCAUAGUUAGGUUCGUCUGACAACCAAAGUAACUACACCUAAAUAUUUUAACAAUUUAUAUAACACAUUGAUUUCAUAACAAAAUCACUACAUGGGAAAGAAUCAUCAACAAUUGCAAUUUUGUAAAUUAACCAAAAAAAAAUCUCUGCCAUCAGACGAAAAUUGUAAUGUCACACAAUUUUUAGUUAAGUUUUUCUUAAUCUUGCAACUGUGAACAAUAAUCUAGCUUUCAUUUUUUCAAGCAGAUAUUUUUUUCAUAUGGAUGUUGGUGCUUCUUCAGCGGUACAUUUGUACCGUUCAGAAAAAGUAAAAUAAAAUAGGAUUCAGGAGUAAAGUUUUCGUCUAAACCUAUAAAAAUGAAGUGACUCUCAUGGAACAGUUAAAUACCACUCUACCCUUUUCAAUUUGUUUUCUCCAUUUGUAUUUCAAAUUGCUUUCUCCAUUUAUAUUUGGUCCCCGACGUAAGCAUUGUGUGUUAUUUGUUAGAAAGUCAUCCACCUGGAGAGGAAGGCAUAACAGAGAAUUAGGGAUCAUGACAAAUUUCAACCGAACAAAUUAACACAUUUUUAAAUGGGGAACUUACAUAAAUAUACUAUAUUAAGAAAAUAUUUACCAUCUAUAGCAAUAAUAUUUUCUUUUCACUUGAUCACUUUGAAUACAUUUAUAAUACAAAUUUAAUACAUAUUACAGAGAACACUUGUAACGACUCGAACUGUCGUUAAUUAGGAAAUGAAAAAUAUUGAGGAAAUUUUGGUCUCCCAGCCUGCCAGAGUGGGCCUGAUGCCGCUAGGGCGGUGGCGCUCUAGCAAGAUAAGUUGCCGCCAUAGCAGGAUGGGCGAGACAGAUUGUAAAUAACGCAAAGUCUGAUUUUCUCAUUUUUCCAAAAACACCAAAAAGAGGCAGGAUUACCCCAGAAACCCUUUUAAGGCUGCUCUAGGCUUGGGAAGGAAGGAGAAAGAGAUUUCUAGCAUAAGGAGGUUGAUAUAUUGCGGACUUCCGGUCAAGAUUCACCGUCCCGUCGCUCAAAAAUCAGAAUUGAAGCUAUAAUCCCGUGCAACUGCUUAGCACCCAGGUAGGCUGAAUUUUAUUAAUUGAGUAGUAUAAAUUUGUAAUUCACUGCAUAGUAUAUUGGUAAUGGACGGUAGAAUUCAUGUGUAGGCUUUUGUGCACUGAAAGGAGAUGAUUAAACAUAUAUUCGUAGGGUUGUAUCAGACAUAUACCGUAGGAGAAAGUACUACUCCAUGAACUAGGGUAGGUGAAUGCUUGAUGUCAUGUUUGUGUGAUGUAUGUUAGUGUUUGAUUCAUUGUGAUGCAUAUAUGUAUGCGAAUGUUGCACUGUUGAUCACAUUAAAUGCGAAUUAGUAUGAAUGGGUGAUUGUAUGCCUUGAACCAACACUUGAUUGUAUGAUUUUGAGAAUGUGCAUUGUGAUUGUGGCUUGUUGAAUGGAUCGGGUGUUACGUUCCAACACAUUAACUGGGAUCGGAUGUCACGUACCGACAUACAUAUUGGAUCGAAUGUCACGUACCGACAUACAUAUUGAAUCGGGUGUCACGAUCUGGCACACUAACAGUUUGGGCUUGGGUUCCAUGAGAGGACCAUUGACUUGUCAAAUAUGUGUAAUAUUGAUAAUGUUUUAUUUAUUUAUUUUUAAAAAAAAUGAGGUUUUAGAGUCGCCACUAAUUAAGAAAAUUAUUUUUUCAAAAGAUUAAAACAGUAAAUCUAAUGAAAAUAUUUAAAGGAGGUUCGGGGUUCACAUUAACAUUUCGAAAAGGAUUUGAAAGCACCCGAAAUGCCCGCGAACACGCAAUUAUUCGGUAAUUAACUAUUUAGCUAAAAAGAUAAGCAUGCUUGAUUAAGUUGCAGAAAUAAAUAAUUUAAAACUUAAAAUCAUUUUCUAGGGGAAAGGGAAAAUAUUAUAAGAAUACUUACUAAGUAAUUAUUUAAAAGUCAAGCAAAAAUAGAUAUUUGUUUAAUUUUAAAUAGUUAACACAAAACGGUUAUUCUUUUGGGGAAUUGAAUUUUGAAAACUUUAAGAUUAGUAGCAAAUAAUAAGUAAACAACUAAGGAAUACGGAUGGUAAAAGAAAAGAGAUUUGGGCCCAAGUCUGAUUUUCUCUUCGCCUGAGCUAGUAAUUGGGGCUAAUUUCGUUUUGGACUGUUGGUCCAAUAUUUAGUACCUGUCCUAAUAACUAAAUUUCAUUCUUUGGGCUUUUGGCUCAAUUCUUGCCCUCUGUAUCUGUCCUAAUGUCUAACCAAUAGUGCUAAUAGUUCAUUAAUAGUUCUCCUUCGCGGCUUUUAAAGAGAUUGAGAGGAAUAUGCAAGAAAUGGGAGUCCAUUAGACUCAUUCGGAUAUCACAUGUGAAAUAGAGAAAAAUGGACAAAGUUAACACAUGUAAAUAGCAAAUAACACUAAGUUUUCGAAAAAAACAUUCAAACAAGGGAUGCAGGCAAAUAAAGCUACUAUGAGUAUGGGAAACAAAACCAGAGCUAUUACUAAGUUUAAUCUUCCAAAAAAGAAAAUCAGCCAAUAGGUCACUGGAUCCUUUGAUCUUAAACAAAUAGCAAAGGCCAAAAUUACAGCCCCAAAGGUAAAUUAUUUUCCAUUUAAACAGGUUUCCGGCCGGAAGAAUAAAGCACACGGAGGCAAUGAACGACAAACUAGCCCCCAAGCAACGACAUGGCUGGCAUACGAAAUUCCAAGAUACAACAUUUUAAGAGACAAAAAGAUGAACAAUACAAGGCAAACUUGCAGAAAAAAGCUGGAAACAGUGCAUAUGCAACCUGGAGAAAGAAAAUAAAGCUUACACUUCGAAAUAAACCUUUUUGUCGAGGUAAUUGGAGAAGACGACAAAGCGAUCUGCUUUUUGCCGUGAUUUCCGCCGCUGCUUGAUUUCCGUGUAUUUUGACGGAAUCGUGAAGUUGAAAUUGAUGCCGCUUGGAAUUGUUGAAGACGUCGUGUUCACGCCGUAAAUUGGGUAUCCGUUAUUGUUGUCGUUUCUGUGAACGUUUGGAGCUGCUGUUUGACGUUGAGCACCUGGGUUUCUUUUGAGAAGGAAAAGGGUCGGGUCGGGUCGGGUAUAUUUUACUGUUGUGCUGAGAUUUGGAGAAAAAAAAUUGGGCCUGGGAACUUGAUUGAAAAAAAAGGGGCUACUGAUUUGUAUUUUGGUAUGAAUAAAUGGCUCAAUUUUUGGGUUUUAAAGAAUUGGAGGCUAAGAUAAGAAAUGGCUAUAAUUGCAAUUAUAAAGAAUUAAAAUUAUGACCAAUUGAGGUUAAAAACGUAGUUGAAUUGAAAUUAAUCGGUGAAUUCUUCUAGCAAUCAAAUGAGAUAAAUUAAUAUUAAUUAAUUAACGAGCUUCUAAAUUUUAACCAAAAUAAAAUAAUUAAUUUAAUUAUAAAAUGAAUUAAUUCAAAAUAUAAAACAUAAUUUAAACUAAAUUAAAUUAAUAAAAUAUUUAACUUAAAAAGUGUAAAAUCUUUUUUUUGAAUGAUUUUUAAAUAUUCAAAAGUUAUUAAUUACAUAAUCAAUUACAUAAAAGCUAUUUCUUAUCUAAAAUAUUAUUAAGGUGACUAAAUCACUUUAAGAUCUUGAAAUAUAUUUGAAAUUUAUAAACUAAUUAUUCCAAAUCGUUUGGGAUCUAAGAAGCUCGAAAAUUAAUUUCUAUCGGGGAGGGUUAAAAUUUGGUGUCAACAGAUAAUGUGGAAUUGGGAAUGUUUCCUAAAAAGAUAACUUGACUGUUAAUUAUGUUCUUAUGUGUAAGUUCAUGGUGUUGUAAGGUAAUUGGGUAUAUCUCUUAAUAAAUGAACUGUGAAUGGUAGAGCCCCUAAUCGGAUUGUGAUAUGAUAAGUGGGGACCAAGAGUCUCGGUGUUGUCAGUGGCGUAGCCAAGAAUCUUAUGAAGAGGGUCCAAACUUUGAAUAGUAUUUUAAAAAAAAAAUCGAUGAUUUAUAGAGAUUCUAUUUUCAAUAAUAUUAUGAUAUAAUUUGGGUAAAUGGGUCUUCUAUUUGUAGAGAAAGAAAAUAUUAUUCCAAAAGGAAAAUGUAUUAAAAUUUAAGAAAAUCUUAUUCCACAAAGAAAAAGGUAUUAAAAUAUAAGGAAAUCCUAUUCCGCAAGGAAAAGGUAUUAAAAUUUAAGGAUUUUUUUUCAAUGAAAACCUUAUUCCAAAAGAAAAAUGUAUUAAAAUUUUAAGAAAAAAGGUAUUAAAAAUAUAAGGAAAUUUUAUUCCACAAGGAAAAUGUAUUAAAAUUUAAGGAAAUAAUUCAAUUUUAAUUAAAAAAAAUCCUUAUUGGAGGUGAGAUUUGAACUUGGGUCACUUAAGACAAGUAUGACACUAUUUACCACUAAGCUACUGAACAUUUAUGUUAAACUUACGCAUGUUGAUUUACUUACAAACUUCAAGAAGGCAAAAUAAUUAUAGAAAAACGAAAACGCUUAUGCAGGGAAUCGAACUGGGGCAGCGAGUGGACUUGUGACAGCUCUUGCCAUCUCCACUGCGGGUCACUUUGUUAUUUCAGGGUGUCCAAAAUACCAUAUAUGCCAAUAUAACUCAAAACUUUACGUGUAUAUAUCGUAUAAUUUUUCGAUGAAGGAUGUCCAAUUGGACAUCCUUGGACAAAGUGGCCACCCCUGGGUGUUGUUGCUAUUUUAGAAAGAUGGUCAUGUGUAUUGUCAUUGAGGAUGGGGUGGUGUUAUGCUGUAGUGUUAAUAGUUGGGUUUUUCCCUCGAAAGGAGGUAGCAUUGAAACGGUUAACAAGUCUUGAUAGAAGUACUAUAGGGUUACAAGUUGAGUGGUGUUGGGAAUGAACUAAGGGUGUAUCAUGAGUGUUGAUCGGUUGGUAGUGGUCAUAUCCAGAAUCUCUCAUAAGAGAUAGACGGUUAAGCUAUGAGUAAGAAUGAAGCGAGUAAAGGGUUAGAGUCAAGUAUGCUAGUAUGAUAUUAAUAUCCGGAAUGGUAAGGGUAGGAAAAUAUAAAGGUAGAGGAGCGAACAGUCUUAUUGCAUGUUCUUGCUAGUCGAUUUCUUAUAUUAUGUGGUGGGUAUCGGGUUGACCGAUGAUGCCUACCAGUACAUGUGAUUGUACUGAUACUACUCUUGCUAUGCCUUUUUGGCAUAGUCUGGUUGCAAGAUCAGUGAUGUUUCGUAGGUGAAGACGAAGGCAAUCUCCAACAACUUCUACUUUUCCUUCCGCAUGUUGGGAGUUGCGUCAUUUAUGAUUUGUUAUACCUUGUACUCUUAGUAGCUCUUGUACCUGUUUAGACUAGAUCCCUGGAGUGUUAAUUACUUUAAAAGUCUUAACUCAUAUUGUUGUCAAAACCCUUAUUUUAUGAAAAUCUUAUGAAUAUUAUUGUUCUUCAGCUUUCUUAAAAUCUUCCGCAUGUCUUAAAACUGUUUUGGAAAUCGAGGGUUCUCCUACUUAGAUGUUAGAGUAGGUGCCCGCACGGCCCGGUGGGUUGGGUCGUGACAACAAUUUAUAAAACACAUAUAAUACAAGAUUUAUUGAUGAAUAAUACAUUUAUCACACAUUUUAAUACACUUAGGGGUCAUUUGGUAGAGUGUAUUAGGGGUGGCAAAUGGGUGGUUUGGAUCGAAUUUGGAUGGAUUGAGUUAAAAUGGAUUGGAUCACAAUCCACCAUAUACAUUAUGGGUAAAUAUAAAUAAUGGGUAAAUAUGGAUUUGGAUAAAAUGGUUGUAACCCACUUUAAUCUCUUAAAGCAAAAAAAUAUUAAAUCAAAGCUAAGUUAUUAAUACCUCAACCCCUACCAUCCCACCCUACCACUUCCACCCCACCCCUGUACCCCCACCCCCAACCCCCGCCCCCCCCANNNNNNNNNNNNNNNNNNNNNNNNNNNNNNNNNNNNNNNNNNNNNNNNNNNNNNNNNNNNNNNNNNNNNNNNNNNNNNNNNNNNNNNNNNNNNNNNNNNNNNNNNNNNNNNNNNNNNNNNNNNNNNNNNNNNNNNNNNNNNNNNNNNNNNNNNNNNNNNNNNNNNNNNNNNNNNNNNNNNNNNNNNNNNNNNNNNNNNNNNNNNNNNNNNNNNNNNNNNNNNNNNNNNNNNNNNNNNNNNNNNNNNNNNNNNNNNNNNNNNNNNNNNNNNNNNNNNNNNNNNNNNNNNCUAAUUUUUUUGAAUAAUAAAUUAAUAUUUUUGAAAAUUAAAAAUUAAUAUUAGAAUUUUUAUUUUUAGCACAAUUUAGAAUUUUGAGUGGAAGGAGAAGUGAGUGAUCAAUUAUGGGUCAAUAUGGAUACCCAUAUUUUACCCAUUUUGACCAUAUUUGUAGGAGCUCUUAAAAUAGCUUGAAGCCCAUAUUUAUCCAAUUAAAAUAUGAGCGAUCCAAGUCAUUAAAUAUGGAUAAAAUAGACUCAUUUCAUUAAUAUGGAUCGAAAUUGCCACCCCUAGAGUUAUUAGGAAAAAUAAUGCAUGUAUUAGCCUUGUGUAUUCCUAGCACCUUGUUUGGAACUAUUUUUCAACCUAUGUAUAACUAAUGCUUGCAUUAGUUAUACACUCUAUUGUGUAUUAAGGUGUGCAUUACUAAUACCAUGAAUUUUUAGGUAUUAGCAAUGCAAUGGUUUUAAUGCAUGCAUUAACAUGAUAAAAGACUCAAUUGCACCUCAAAACUUUUUUUUCCAUCUUCUCCACCAUAAAAGUGAAGGGUAUCUUUGUAAAUAAUUGUUUUUAAUGCAAUACAUACUAUUUUUAAUGCUUCAAACCAAACAAUGUGAAGAAACACAAUCCAUAUGCUUGCCUCUGUAGCACGCAUGAAUUAGCUGGUUUUGGGUGACUUGAAUUGUUAGUUUGUUUGCUCUUUUUUUUUUUGCCUAAUUUUGAAUUGCAAUUGUAGCCAAAUUUCUUUGGAAAAUAGCCACCAUGGAUUAUUGUUAUAGCCCUCAAUUAAUUACCUAUUUUUCCACUCUACAUAAAUUAUUGUUAUAGCCCUCAAUUAAUUGAAUCUAAGUCAUUGAUAUCAAUAUUAGACAUGUGACAAUUGACGCUCAUUCAAGAAAUAAUUUGGGGGAAAUAAAGAUGAUAGUUAAAUCCCUUUUCUAUAAAUAUGGUUCUCCUAACACUAUAAGAAUUGAUUCCUAAAUAUUGAUAAGGUAAAAUAAAGGUAAAUGUGGUUAAAAUAUAAAUAGUACAACUCACAUAACAUAUUGUACAAUUAAGUAUUGCAGUGUUAGUCCUUUUUGUUGUUGGCAUAUAUAUAUAUAGGGGCGGAUCUACGUGGAUAGGUGGGGGUGCCACGGCUCCCAAUGAUCUCGUAAAAAAUGUUGUAUAUAUAUGUAUAUAUGUCUAAUAAUUCAAUAUAUAUUACGUUUGCCACCUAGUAACUGAAAUGCAGAACAACUCAAUUUGCGAAGGAGAUGGUGUGCCACACAGCCAGAGGCGAAUUCAGAAUUUUAAAAAGACGGGUGCACCAUUUUCAGGACCGGCCGCCCCUUUAUGAAAAAGACAACCAUUUUAGGCUCUCAAAUUUGAGGGCCUCAUUUAUUUUAGCAAUAAUAGAUUAUAGGUUUUUCAUAAGAUAACUAUUAAAUACGAUUUGCGAAAAAAAAAAUAUUCAAGGAAAAAAUUAUUAAAAGUUUGAUAUAUCUCGAGUACUAUGUUACAAGAAAAAAUCAAUGCAUUGGAAUAUAUAUAUAUAUAUAAAUGUAUAUGCAAUUUUGCAUCUCAAGAAAUUUAAAAGUACACUUUACAGAAGGAAGAUGAAAAUUUUUCAAAAAAAUAACAUACAAUGGUGCUUUUUAAUUAAUUUUUAAAAAUAAAUCUUCUCUAGAGAUCGAACCCUCAACCUCACAAUCAAAAACCAACACUCGAACUAGUGAACCAUCCACUAAUUUGUUAUCAUGUGUUCCAUUAUUUGAAAAUUUACAUAUUUUAAGAAUUAUACAAAUAAUAUAUCGAGUUUUGUCGGAUGACCACGGGUUUCGAUGUCCCAUUUUUUACACUUAAAUUCUCCCUUGCACACAACCAAUGCGGGUUCGAAUCUCGCUGCCAACACCUAAUUUUUUGCUUGCUCCUUUUUUUCUUUUCUUUUCUUUUUUGUCUUUUUCAUUAGUGUGUAAAGGGCUUAAUUUUUCUCUCCAUUCAUUCUUAUUUAUUUACUAUUCUUUAUUAAUUCAAAUUGACUUCUUUUCAUAAUUAAUUUUUAAUUUUUUUACUUUCUCUUGCACUAAUUAUUAAUCUCUUGAUAUGCGUGUUACAUGUUUAUUUUUUAUCAACUAAUGAGUACUGAAUUAUGAACGUCAAAUAAAUAUUAUUAAGAAUAUAUUUAAAUAGUAGUUUUUAAAAAAUACAAGUUUUAAAAAUGAUGAAUAUUAUUAUUAGAGUUUUUUUUAAUUUAAAGGUUCUAUCGAUCUUCACCGACGUUCUUGCUAAGUAAGAUGACUAGGCUGAAACUACAAUUUUUAUUCUUUUCUUACUAUAUAUCUCCAACAACACAUAAAGUCAAUGGUAUAUGAAUAUAUUAUGUUAAUAUUAUUAGAUGGUUUAUACAAGCUCAAAUUUUAAUGUGAAAAAUCUUUUUUUUCUCAAAGUUUCAGUGAAUAAGACAUCUAAUUCCAAAAAUGAAAUAAAAAUUGAAUUGUUUAGUUAUCUCUAAUCUCAGGAUAUCUAAAAGAAAAUAUUACUAACAUGCAUAUUUGAUCGAUUUGUUUAUAAAAUAAAAUAAAAUCAAUAACCCGAAUUGUAACCUAAAAUUAAAGCAACCGAUCCUUUUAUCUUGCUUGAACGUUAUGACACCCACUGACCUCCAAAUCCUAGAUCCACCUUUAUAUAUAUGAUUAUGUUCUAUAUAAUAGUAAAUCAUUAGCCGUCACGCAACUACAAUACAUACAGAAAUUUGAACUUUAUUUGAAGAGUACACUUGUCAUGCCUAGUAUAACUAGUAUAAUUAAUAGAAUUUUUAAAAAAUAUUUUCCAUAUAGCUAAACUUUUUCUAACCUAUAAAACUAUGAUAUAUGCUUUAUAAAUUUUUCCAUAAUUAUUCCAUCCAUGGAGAGAAUUAAGGAAAAUAGUCCUAGUAUCCUAAUAUUUCCAUGGUUAGGUUUUGGCCAUGUAAAUCCCUUUUUGGCACUAGCCAAGAAAUUAUCAAAAAUGAAUUUUCACAUAUAUUUUCUUUCUACAUCAAUUAUUCUCAAAUCUAUCAAGGAAACCCUAGAUAAAAACUCAACUAAUUAUAAUCUCUCCAUACAACUUGUUGAAUUUCACUUGCCUUAUUUGCAUGAGUUACCUCCUCACUACCAUACAACUAAAGACCUCCCUCCCCAUCUCCAUUCCACUCUCAUUCAAGCCUUCCAAAUGGCUUCUUCCGAAUUUCCAAGCAUAAUUGAAACCCUAAAACCUAACCUGAUUAUAUAUGAUGGGUUCCAACCAUGGGUAGCAACUAUGGCUUCAUCAUGUAAUAUUCAUGCUAUUAUGUUUUAUGUUUCUUCAACUUCAGGUCUUGCCUACCUUUACCACCAAUUUCUUCAUGGG